rnacentral:rRNA from 1 species
UGGGGAAUAUUGGACAAUGGGCGCAAGCCUGAUCCAGCCAUGCCGCGUGGGUGAAGAAGGCCUUCGGGUUGUAAAGCCCUUUUGUCCGGAAAGAAAAGCUUCGGAUUAAUACUCCGAGGUCAUGACGGUACCGGAAGAAUAAGCACCGGCUAACUUCGUGCCAGCAGCCGCGGUAAUACGAAGGGUGCAAGCGUUACUCGGAAUUACUGGGCGUAAAGCGUGCGUAGGUGGUUCGUUAAGUCUGAUGUGAAAGCCCUGGGCUCAACCUGGGAAUUGCAUUGGAUACUGGCGGGCUAGAGUGCGGUAGAGGAUAGUGGAAUUCCCGGUGUAGCAGUGAAAUGCGUAGAGAUCGGGAGGAACAUCUGUGGCGAAGGCGACUAUCUGGGCCAGCACUGACACU